CAGCCGCCGCGGGAAAACGUAGGGUGCAAGCGUUAAUCGGAAUUACUGGGCGUAAAGCGUGCGCAGGCGGUUGUGUAAGACAGAUGUGAAAUCCCCGGGCUCAACCUGGGAACUGCAUUUGUGACUGGCAGGCUAGAGUAUGGCAGAGGGGGGUGGAAUUCCGCGUGUAGCAGUGAAAUGCGUAGAUAUGCGGAGGAACACCGAUGGCGAAGGCAGCCCCCUGGGCCAAUACUGACGCUCAUGCACGAAAGCGUGGGGAGCAAACAGGAUUAGAUACCCGGGUAGUCCCUGUCUCUUAUAA
rnacentral:rRNA from 1 species